CUAGCGACUUCAGAGUUUGAUCCUGGCUCAGGAUGAACGCUAGCGACAGGCCUAACACAUGCAAGUCGAGGGGCAGCAUGAAAGUAGCUUGCUACUUUUGAUGGCGACCGGCGCACGGGUGCGUAACAGGUGUGCAAUCUGUCCAUAAUCGGGGAAUAGCCCAGCGAAAGUUGGAUUAAUGCUCCAUGUGAGUAAGAGAGGCAUCUCUUUUAUUUGAAACGUAAGGAUUAUGGGUGAGCACGCUUCUGAUUAGGUAGUUGGUGAGGUAACGGCUCACCAAGCCGACGAUCAGUAGGGGUUCUGAGAGGAAGGUCCCCCACAUUGGAACUGAGACACGGUCCAA
rnacentral:rRNA from 1 species